AGCAGCGUUGUCAGUCAUUGAGUUCCUACAUUAUAUUAUACAUUAUUUUUAUAAUUUCAGCACAAUACGAUAUCUGAAUGUGACGGUAUUGUAAAAUACGAGGUAUCUCCAUAUCUACCAUGUUUUUUAUGGAACAAUCACAGAGUAAAUACGGUCAGUGUAUUUCCGAAAUCAAAGAAAAACGAGGGUUUCUUUUACGAACAAAACCCUUAGAAGAUUGAAAAACUUUGUGAAGCGAUGAGAUUUUCUGAAGUAGAAACCCUAUAGUUAUUUUAUAAAAAUACAAAUAAAAGUUGAGUACAAUUUAAUGGAAAAA